AAUACCCGUUCCCAUACCGAACACGGAAGUCAAGCUCUCCUGCGCCGAUGAUACUGCUCUUUAGCGGGAAAGUAGGUAGCUGCCGGCU
rnacentral:rRNA from 1 species